UGGGGAAUAUUGGACAAUGGGCGCAAGCCUGAUCCAGCCAUACCGCGUGGGUGAAGAAGGCCUUCGGGUUGUAAAGCCCUUUUGUUGGGAAAGAAAAGCAGUCGGCUAAUACCCGAUUGUUCUGACGGUACCCAAAGAAUAAGCACCGGCUAACUUCGUGCCAGCAGCCGCGGUAAUACGAAGGGUGCAAGCGUUACUCGGAAUUACUGGGCGUAAAGCGUGCGUAGGUGGUUUGUUAAGUCUGCUGUGAAAGCCCUGGGCUCAACCUGGGAAUUGCAGUGGAUACUGGCUGACUAGAAUGUGGCAGAGGGUAGCGGAAUUCCUGGUGUAGCAGUGAAAUGCGUAGAGAUCAGGAGGAACAUCCGUGGCGAAGGCGGCUACCUGGGCCAACAUUGACACUGAGGCACGAAAGCGUGGGGAGCAAACA
rnacentral:rRNA from 1 species